rnacentral:rRNA from 1 species
ACGGGUGAGGAAUACGUAGGAAUCUACCCUCGAGCGGGGGACAACCAAGGGAAACUUUGGCUAAUACCGCAUAAACUCGAGAGAGAAAAGCUGCUCGCAAGGGUGGCACUCGAGGAGGAGCCUGCGUCCGAUUAGCUAGUUGGUAGGGUAAAAGCCUACCAAGGCGAUGAUCGGUAACUGGUCUGAGAGGACGACCAGUCACACUGGGACUGAGACACGGCCCAGACUCCUACGGGAGGCAGCAGUGGGGAAUAUUGGACAAUGGGGGCAACCCUGAUCCAGCGAUGCCGCGUGAGUGAAGAAGGCCUUCGGGUCGUAAAGCUCUUUAGGUUGGGAAGAAGGGUGUUGGAGGAAAUGCCAAUACUUUGACGGUACCGACAGAAUAAGCACCGGCAAACUCUGUGCCAGCAGCCGCGGUAAUACAGAGGGUGCGAGCGUUAAUCGGAAUUACUGGGCGUAAAGGGCGCGUAGGCGGUAAGACGUGUGUGAUGUGAAAGCCCCGGGCUUAACCUGGGAAGUGCAUCGCAAACUGUCUAACUGGAGUAUAUGAGAGGGUGGCGGAAUUUCCGGUGUAGC